UACGGAGGGUGCGAGCGUUACCAGGAUUUACUGGGCGUAAAGGGCGUGUAGGCGGUUUUCUAAGUCCGGGGCUAAAGACCAGAGCUCAACCCUGGGUUUGCCUUGGAUACUGGAAAGCUAGACGGCUGGAGGGGGCAGCGGAAUUUCCGGAGUAGCGGUGAAAUGCGCAGAUACCGGAAGGAACACCAAUAGCGAAGGCAGCUGCCUGGACAGUACGUGACGCUGAGGCGCGAAAGCGUGGGGAUCAAACCGG
rnacentral:rRNA from 1 species